AGCUCACUGGUCGAGUCGGCCUGCGCGGAAGAUGUAACGGGGCUAAACUAUGCACCGAAGCUGCGGCAGCGAUAUGUAAAUAUUGUUGGGUAGGGGAGCGUUCUGUAAGCCUGUGAAGGUGUACUGUGAGGUAUGCUGGAGGUAUCAGAAGUGCGAAUGCUGACAUAAGUAACGAUAAUGCGGGUGAAAAACCCGCACGCCGGAAGACCAAGGGUUCCUGUCCAACG
rnacentral:rRNA from 1 species